GAUGAACGCUGGCGGCGUGCCUAAUACAUGCAAGUAGAACGCUGAAGGAGGAGCUUGCUCUUCUGGAUGAGUUGCGAACGGGUGAGUAACGCGUAGGUAACCUGCCUGGUAGCGGGGGAUAACUAUUGGAAACGAUAGCUAAUACCGCAUGACAACAGUUAUUGCAUGAUAACUGUUUAAAAGGGGCAACUGCUCCACUACCAGAUGGACCUGCGUUGUAUUAGCUAGUUGGUGAGGUAACGGCUCACCAAGGCGACGAUACAUAGCCGACCUGAGAGGGUGAUCGGCCACACUGGGACUGAGACACGGCCCAGACUCCUACGGGAAGCAGCAGUAGGGAAUCUUCGGCAAUGGACGGAAGUCUGACCGAGCAACGCCGCGUGAGUGAAGAAGGUUUUCGGAUCGUAAAGCUCUGUUGUAAGAGAAGAACGAGUGUGAGAGUGGAAAGUUCACACUGUGACGGUAUCUUACCAGAAAGGGACGGCUAACUACGUG
rnacentral:rRNA from 1 species